AUUUUGGUAGUUUUCUUCAGUUUUCAGCGCUUUCACAUCGUGCUGUAUCACCGCGGCACUCAAGCUGGAAGCAGCCACAGUGCCUUACAAAUGAAGACGCUGUUGAAGUGCAGCUUCUGGGAAAAUGAAGAGGUCAUUCAGUUCAAGUGGGAUCAAAAGUUUGUGAGCAUGGUAGAGAACACCUGAGGACUGUGUGUGGUGGUUUGGUACUCAGGUGCUUGGGAGCAUUGCAUUGGAAGAGAUGGACCCGGAAAUGUACAUCAAGGAGUUUGGCUGAGGAGGAAAAACAAACAAACAAACAAAAACCAUCAAAAAGAAAAUAAGAACUUGCACCCUCGAUGAAGCAGAUUCUACAAACUCUGUGAUGUAUAACCAGCAUCCAGAAAAUCUGAAAGCAGUACUGAUAGAAAUGUGGAAAUACGGCAGGUGUUGAGGUGACAUGCUCACCAGUAAAUACUGCUUCCUAACAGCCUGGGUUUGAGUAGGAUGGAUGAACAAGUCCUUCCCUGGCUCUGUCACUCUGCAGCCAACUUGUCAUCCAAACAUGUUUCCCAGUGUUUCCCAGCUAGAUCAGUUCCUUAUAGAAGUAAGAACACGACUGAUUUGAUUUUUAAUCCCUCAGUUUCCGUAAGAAGAACAGUUGUUUAAAGCUACCUCUAGCACUUUAGACAUGUUUGACUCAUCCUAUCUGGCAGAUUCCUCAGUGCCCUAAUAAACCUGGUAUGAACACUUUGUUCUGGUGUGUGGUAUUUCAACUCUGAGGUUACAUUUUGGAUCCAGCCUGGUUAUUGUAUCCCACUCUGAUGUCCAAACCCACUGAAUUGGAGCCAGUUACUCUGCACUGUUACUACUGAGGAAUGUUUUAGCAGUUUGGGUGUCCCUGAGGGAACUGAAAGAAAGACUCUCAAACCAGCUAUGAGCUAUGCUUUUGGACAAGCAAAGAUUUUCCCAUCUGUAAAUGGUGUCAGUGAUACAUAUUCCAUUUUAGUGCUAUAGACAGUAUACCUGUAGGCUCAUAUGGGAUUUACCAGACUCUUUCUCUCUCCCCUAUCUUGCAAAUAAGCAAUCCACAAACCCACUGAUUGUCCGCCCCAGUGGUAGUCCAUGUAGUCCUGCAUUUAAUACAUGCCUGCCCUGCCAUUCAGAAAGGAGCUCUGUUGCUCUGUA